rnacentral:ncRNA from 1 species
AUGGCGGGCGCAGGAGUUCGCGCCAGCAAUCUGGAGCUAUUUAUACGCGCCGGGGUGAAAGAGCUGCAUAGCUCAGCAGGCAGAUGGACGCCUUCACCCAUGCGCUAUCGCAAUACAGGGUUGUCAAUGUCGACGGAUGCCGCGGCGGAUGAAUAUUCGCGCUACGGUGUGGAUGGAGAGUCGGUUGCGGUAAUGAAAUCACUAAUUGAUCGUUAUCACGUGUAGCAACGUACCGAUUUUUACCGCGCAUCAUGUCGCCCAAUAUGAUGCUUGCUCGUACCAGGCCCCUGCAAUUUCAACAGGGGCCUUUUUU